GGAGAGGUGGCUGAGUGGCCGAAAGCGGCGGUUUGCUAAACCGUUGUACGGGUUAAACCGUACCGGGGGUUCGAAUCCCCCUCUCUCCGCCA
rnacentral:tRNA from 1 species